CCGUUGUACACACCGCCCGUCACACCAUGGGAGUUGGUUCUACCUUAAGACGGUGCGCUAACCGCAAGGAGGCAGCCGGCCACGGUAGGGUCAGCGACUGGGUG
rnacentral:rRNA from 1 species